AGCAUCACCUUACAGUGCUCAUUUCAUGGGAGAAUAAUGAGUAAUGAACAGAGUGAGGCAGAUACACUGCAGGCAAUAACCUGAAGUACAGGAUUUGGCUUUAAAUCCUUCUUGGCCUGCAAACUGUACCACAGACAUCUUCUUUUACGUGACAUGAAAGCAGAAGGAAGGACGAUUUUUUGCAAGGAGGAAAGGAUGGAGCUGAAGUGGAGGUGUAGAAGCCGGGCGUGGUGGCGCACGCCUUUAAUCCCAGCACUCGGGAGGCAGAGACAAGUGAAUUUCUGAGUUCGAGGCCAGCCUGGUCUACAGAGUGAGUUCCAGGACAGCCAGGGCUACACAGAGAAACCCUGUCUCGAAAAACAAAAACAAAACAAAACAAAACAAACAAAAAAGAAGCCUGAGCACACCUACAUUCCACCACAGAUGGGGGAGGGGCUCAAGACAACACUUCACAGAAGGACCUAAUAGGCAGUUAACAGUUGCUGGGGAAGGGAAGUCAUAUCCUCAGUGGGGUAGCCACUGGUAAGUUACCCUUGCCCAAAUAACCACCUCCCUCCCACCCACCUCUACUCAUUCAAGCAGCCCUAAUUAAAGGGAAGUGGGAGCGUAGACUACAAACCAAGGAGGAAGGGGACUUGCUGGGGGAAGCUUAGCAGGAGGCAAAGGGAGAUGGGAGAGGAUAGUGGGGGGAUAGGAUUAAACAUUACCUACCAUUUGAUUAUGAAAGAAUAAAAAUAUAAAAUGUUUUAAGGAUGAGGGAUAGGAGAGGGAAGUGGGGGCAGCUAAGAACAAAGUGUAAAGAUAUAUACGUGUAAAAAAAAAAACACUAUAUAUGCAAGCAUCUAAAAACAGAACUGUAAACUGACGGUGAAAUCUGGGCACUGUGGUGCAAGUCUUUAAGGCCAUCACAACUGCGGACAGAGGUGGGACUGAAGCAAGGGGAUCAAUAACAUAAGGUCAGCCUGUGCUAUACAAGAACGCCUCUCUAAUAAGAUAAACAAAUUAAAAAAAAAUACCUCCCCUAACAAAAAAAUGGGGGAAAAUAAGGGAAAGGGACAUACAAAAUGCCAAAUGCCUAAAACCAGCUUUUGAGCUUUACAUUUUUAAAAAUUUUCUGUGGUCCUCACCCCACUUAUCUAUUUAAGUUUUUGAGGCAGGUCUUACUGUAUAGCCCCAACUGGCUUGGAACCUGUUACCUGAACCAGACUGGCUCGGAACUCUCAGAGAUCUACUUGCCUCUGCCUCUCAACUUUCAGCAUCACAACAGUGUUUACUGCCAAACCUAAGCAAAGUCAACUGAAGGCACAAGGAGGCCCCUCGAGUGGAAUGGUGGUUACGUAGGAGGCUGAAACACAAAGCUUGCAGGCGAGCCACAGGCUUCUCUCCUUUGCUACGGUGCUGAAGAGUGAACUUAGCACAUUGCUGGGCAAAGCACUGUUCAGAUGAGCUGACCUGCACUCCUGACUCAAGUUCCCAAACUAGACACUAUCAGACAGCAACCCCUGACUACUGAAAUACUUCCUGUAGCCAGUGAGGUUUAUUUCAUAACAGCGUUAAGUGGACCUGCCUAGCUCUAAGUUCCUUUUUGCUCUUUACCAUGACAUUGGAUUGUUAACAGUUGCAAUUCUCCAAUAAACGUUGUUUUGGAGAGUUGAUUUUCAUGUUGCUCAUUUUUGGCUGACAGGUGGAAGUAUGAUUUCAGAAAGUGAUUCUAAAUAUUUUACUAUGAAUUUGGAAUUUUUCACAUCAAUUUAAUUAGGUUAAUAUAAUAUUAGUAGAAGUCUUAAAGCUCUUUUGAAAAUAGUAGAAGUUAUAAAUUAGUAUCUAAAAUAUACCUGUCAACAUUUUUGCUAGAAAACAGAAAACCAACCACUCUGAGAAACUUGCCACCAGCACCCCACUUCUCCCAGACAGCGAAUCUAGUCCACAACACGCUGUGUUAGACCGGGUGCCCAGGACUCAGCCUUCAUUUUCUUUUUCUUUAAAGUAAAAUGCAAAGUUGCUGGUAUGGUGCUGCACAACCAGGAUUCCAACAUUCAGGAGUGGCUCGGGCAGGAGAAUCCCAGGGAGUUUAAGCCAGCCUACGCUAUAUAGUAAGACUGCAGCUCGAAACUGUUUCUCUCCCUCUCCCUCUCCCCACAGCCCCCAACCCAGGAAUAGGAAAAUGAUUAAAAUGUUAUUUAUAUUCUGUAUUAGAGGAACUGUUCACUAUUUAAAGUCUUUUUUCAUCCUUUAGAUGUUACUAGUUUAAACUUUUAAAUCACAUGUAUUUACCAGUGCUUGUGUAAUCAGGGACAAGAGGCAGCAGCUGCUCCUCUCUCCACCAUGUGAGUCCCAGGGAUUGGACUCAGGCUGCUACCAUUGCAGCCACUGUCAUGGCCCCUUCAACCACUUCACGGGCCCCUUAAGUUUUUCCUUUCUUUUUUCUCUUUGAGUGAACUCACGGAUAUUCUCCUGCCUCUGACUCUUCAAUGCUAGGAUUAAAGGCAUGCACUAUCAUGCUCAGCUCUGAAAUUUUAUUUUCAAAGCACUAAAUUAUUAUAAUAUUUUACCUUUUUAUAUAGCAGUUUUAGUUUAUAUAAUUACUCAGAUAGCAUACAUGAGCCACCACAUUGGCUUACUCUUUUUAAACUACUCAGUACAUAGAAACACGUAGAAAAGGUUGACUUGAAAGCAGGUGUGGUGGAGCAUGCUGGCACUCCCAGGAUUUGGACCCAAGUCCUGGGUCAGUCUAGGUGAUAAAAGUUGUGUCACAAAAUAAAAAGAUAAAGUGACUUUUUAAUUUAGUCAUAGCUUUCUUUUCAGUUUUUUAUGACAGGGUCUGCCUAUAUAACCCAAACUGUCUGCAAACUCACAAUUCUGUCUUUUCUUCCCUUGAUUAUAAGCGGGGGCCAUCAACCCAGGCUUCUUUUUCAUUAAAGAACCAAACCAAACCAGCAACAACAAAAAUACAAACACUUUGAAAAUUGUUUAUAUACUGUCUGGUCCAAAUAUCUUUUCUUUAAUUCUACUAACAUAAUAUCCUUAAACCUUUAUCAACAACAUUCAAGCCUUGAUUGAUAAUUGGUGAUACAAGGCUAACUUCAUCAUUUGAAAAGAGCCAGGCCUGAGCUGGCAAGACGGCUCGUCUGCCACCAAGCACUAAAACUGAGUUCCUUUCCCAUGACCUGUAUAGUCGAAGAAGGAAAAGGACUUCCACAAGUUGUUGUCCUCUAACCUCUAAACACACACAUGCACACACACACACACACACACACACACACACACACACGAGCACACACAAUCCCUAAUGGAAUGAGAACAUCAUUCUACAUUAUUAUUCAAGACCUCAAAUAAAGACACAAGAGCGCUGUCACCAAUCGAGGAGUUGUAACUCUUGCAUCACGUGGUCUCUAAAGCCAAAAUAAUGACACUUGUCCAUAGCAGACAGUAUUAGCCAGGCUCUUCCUUGCAUUUGCCUGCUAUUCCUAUUUCAACUUUUUUUUCCCUUCGAGACAGGGUUUCUCUGUAUAGUCCUGGCUGUCCUGGAACUCACUUUGUAGACCAGGCUGCCCUCGUACACAGAAAUCCUCCUGCUUCUGCCUCCCAAGUGCUGGGAUUAAAGGCGUGUGCCACCACCGCCCGGCUAUCCUAUUUCAACUUUCAAUCAAAUGCCUUUUCCAACUUAAGAACUUUUCCUCCAUAUUGUACAUAAACUGUUAUUUUAGCAUUUAUAAAAAGUUACAAUGGGGGCUGGAGAGAUGGCUCAGCGGUUAAGAGCAUGUGGUUCAACUCCCAGCAACCACAUGGUGGCUCACAACCAUCCAUAAUGAGAUCUGAUGCCCUUUUCUGGUGUGUGUGAAGACAGCUACAGUGUACUUACAUAUAAUAAUAAAUAAAUCUUUGAGCAGGCCCUAGAACGAGCUGACCCUGGAGCAGAGGUCCUGAGUUCAAUUCCCAGCAACCACAUACAUGAUGGCUCACAACCAUCUGUACAGCUAGAGUAUAGUGAUAUAUAUAUAUAUAAAAUAAAUAAACACAUCUUUAAAAGUUACAAUGAUUAUUUUUCAUUUGAGCCAGUAGUCCAGGCUGGCCUCAAACUCACAAUCCUGACCACCCUCCUGAGUGCUAACAUUCCAAUGAUUUUUACUGUUUUUUCUUUUUCACUACCUAAUGUAUUCCUGAGAUACAGAAAAGAAAAAAACUUAGACAGAGCUCUUUGAGGUCCUAGCAUUUAUUUAGGUCACUGACAUAGGAAGUGGUUAAAAAGAAGUUUGUUCAAACACAGCAACGUAAGAAAAACAGUCUGAGACUAGUUCUUCCUAAUAAGGUUCUAAGCAUGCAUGCAUUCAUUCAUUUAUUCAUUUAUUGAGACGGGGUAUAGGGCCUUGCUGCACUCCCACCUUUGGUCCUCCUGUAUCAAGCCUCUGAAGUGCUCGGACUAUUAAGUGUGUGCCUGGCUCAUUUUCAUCUUUGUAAUGGAAACUACAAGAAUCUAUAGCCUGGGCUGAAGAGGCAGCUCAGUGGUUAAGAGAACUGGCUGCUCCUUUAGAGGACCUGGUAAGUUCCCAGCUCCUACAUGGUGACUUACAACCACACAUCACUCUGGUUCCAGGGCUCUUCUGACCUCCAUAUCCACUAGGUAUCUACCCAUACACGCUGGCAAUCACUCAUGUGCAUAAAAUAAAAAUAAGUCUUAAAAAAGCAUAGACAAUCUAUGAUGACAAAUCAGCAGCGUCUAUUGUGCUGCUGGAAGUAAAGACUUCCUGCUUUGAUGUCACUUCCCUAUUAUUCAGCUUCCUCUCUUUUUAAAGACAGUUUUACUUAGUCCAAGCUGCUGGCCUAGAACUUUAAUAUAGCUCAGACUGGUCAUGAACUUGUGGCAAUCCUGUUUUAUACCUCCCCCCACCAAGUGCUAAGAUUACAGUCAUAUGCCCAUGCUAAAUAAAUCACCCCAGUUAAACAGAGAAUUUAAGAAACUCACAUGGAAGUUAGGCGUGGUGCCCAGUCUGUAAUCCUAGACUUAGAAAGUGGAGUUAGGAAGAUCAUGAAUCAAAGUCAUCCUGAGCUACAGUGUUCUUGGGCUAACCUGGGCUACAUGCGACUAUCUCAAUAAAACAACCCUCACUCCCAAAAACCAAAAAAGAAACUCUUGUUAAGUAAAAGCAUAUCUGAUGAAGUAUACAUUGCAAAGUCCUUCUUAGCAUCCAGGAACUAUAUAGAUCCUGAACUAUAAGAAUUAGCCCAGGCCUAGGUUAAAAAUGAGUUUAAUAGAGAAAGUUAAAACUAUAUACUUAUAGAAAAAAACAUUUAGUCUUAAAAUUUAAAAUGCAUUCCAACCA